rnacentral:rRNA from 1 species
AUUGAACGCUGGCGGCAGGCCUAACACAUGCAAGUCGAACGAGUGGCGGACGGGUGAGUAAUGUCUGGGAAACUGCCCGAUGGAGGGGGAUAACUACUGGAAACGGUAGCUAAUACCGCAUACCAUCGGAUGUGCCCAGAUGGGAUUAGCUUGUAGGUGAGGUAACGGCUCACCUAGGCGACGAUCCCUAGCUGGUCUGAGAGGAUGACCAGCGAAACUGGAACUGAGACACGGUCCAGAGUCCUACGGGAGGCAGAAGUGGGGAAUAGUGCACAAGGGGGGAAAGGCUGAUGGAGCCAUGCCGCGGGUAUGAAGAAGGCCUUCGGGUUGUAAAGUACUGUCAGCGGGGAGGCGUUACCCGCAGAAGAAGCACCGGCUAACUCCGGGCCAGCCGCCGCGGUAAUUC